UACGUAGGGGGAUAGCGUUGUCCGGAAUCAUUGGGCGUAAAGCGCGCGUAGGCGGCCCGGUAAGUCCGUUGUAAAAGUCAAAGGCUCAACCUUUGAAAGCCGAUGGAUACUGCCGGGCUAGAGUCCGGAAGAGGCGAGUAGAAUUCCUGGUGUAGCGGUGGAAUGCGCAGAUAUCAGGAGGAAUACCCAUAGCGAAGGCAGCUCGCUGGGACGGUACUGACGCUGAGGCGCGAAAGCGUGGGGAGCGAACAGG
rnacentral:rRNA from 1 species